rnacentral:rRNA from 1 species
AUGACAAAUGUGACCAAGAGCUCCAUCGCCCCCAUCCAAUGCGCCAACAUUAACUUGGAGGAGAUUCUGGCGAACUUCCCGGCGACUACGACCCCCUUCCCCAUUAAGUAUCUGGGGUUGCCCCUCUCCUUCGGAAGACUUAGGCGUGUGGACCUUCAACCCUACAUCGACAAAGCAGUGGCUCGUCUUAGCCCGUGGAAAGGAAAGUUCCUGAAUCGUGCCGGGUGCACUGCUCUGGUUAAGUCCGUGCUCUCCUCCAUGCCAAUUUUCUUCCUGACGGCUUUAAAGGCUGACAAAGGCAUCCUCAAGUCCUUUGCGAAGAUCAGUCGCGGCAUGCUCUGGGCCUGUAAGGAGGCGGUUAGUGGAGGGAAAUGCAAAGUCAACUGGCAAAAGGUCUGCUGCCCCAAGGAGCUCGAUGGUUUGGGGGUUUUGGGCCUGGAGAGGUUCUCCCGAGCCCUGAGGCUUCGCUGGUUAUGGUAUGAGUGGAAGGCUCCUGAGAAGCCAUGGGUGGGCUCUGAAACCCCCAACGACGCCUCAGACCUUGACCUCUUCAAUGCGUCUACUCGUGUCACCAUCGGAAACGGCGCCAAGGCCUCCUUCUGGUCGUCUUCAUGGCUCCAUGGCGCCCCGCCAAAAGACCUAGCUCCCCUAAUUUUCAAGGCUUCCAAGAGGAAGAAUCGGACGGUCCAGGACACUCUCGCUGAUAACAACUGGAUCUCGGACAUCGCGGUGGAUGCAUUCACUGCCGAUCACAUGGAACAAUACAUCCACCUCUAG